UUCAUCAUAGCAGAAGUACUCACUUUAUUACAAAGAGCUGACACGAUGAACACUUUCCUAAUCAGAUCUGCAUGUCUGUUGUGGCUUACAGUGACAAAUCAUGCAAAAACGGUUCUCCAGAGUCCUGAUGACCUCAUAAAGAACCAAAAUGAAUCGUCUGUUAUCGUCUGUUCUCACAGUAUACAGGACUACAACCAAAUGCUGUGGUACAAACAGAGUCAGGACAUGCCUGGACUCAAGUUGAUGGGAUACCUUUAUGGUGGUGAGAAUAUAGAGCCUGAAUUUAAAGACAAGAUCAAAUUGGAGGGAGAUGCAUCAAAAAGUGGCACUCUGACUAUCAUCAACCUCACACCACAAGACAGCGCAGUGUAUUUCUGUGCAGCAAGUUACACAGUGAUAUAGACAAUGAAACCUUAAUACAAAAAGCUCUCUAAUCUGUUCUUCUGUACCAGCUCUGCAUCACCUGCAAAGGGCUCAGGGUUUGAUUUACUGCCAACAUUGGGCAGGCAGCGUUUCAAGCUGUGUGUUCAUCCCUGCCUGCGUUACAUCUUGGGUGGGCAUACACACAGUUUGUGCGUUGGCCUAACGGUUAGAGUGUUGGACUUGCAAUCCAAGGGUCGUGAGUUCGAGUCGAGUCUAGGGCUGGCAGGAAUUGUAGGUGGGGGGA